rnacentral:lncRNA from 1 species
CCAUCUCGUUCCCCAGGAGAUCCUGCCCGGCCGGGGAUUCACCUUCUGGCAGUGGUUUGACGGAGUCCUCGACCUCACCAAGAGAUGCCUCAAAAGUUACUGGUCGGACAGGCUCAUCAUCGGCUUCAUCAGCAAGCAGUACGUCUGCAAGCUCCUGAGCACGGAGCCCGACGGGACCUUCCUGCUCCGCUUCAGCGACUCGGAGAUCGGGGGCGUCACCAUCGCUCACGUCAUUCGGGGCAAGGACGGCUCCAGCCAGGUGGAGAACAUCCAGCCCUUCUCCGCCAAGGACCUGUCCAUCCGCUCCCUCGGCGACCGCAUCCGGGACCUGGGGCAGCUCCGCAACCUCUACCCCAACACCCCCAAGGACCAGGCGUUUGGCAGCCACUACAACAAAGAGCAGACGGGCAAGGACGGCCGCGGCUACGUCUCCACCGCCAUCAAGAUGACGGUGGAAAGCGAGAGGGACCAGCAGCCCCAGAGCACUGCAGGGGGGGGCCCCGAGCCCCCCCAGGCUCAGAUGUUCAGCCUGCCCGUGCUGCAGCAAGAGCUGCGCCCCGAGAACCUGCAGUCGGUGCUCAGCCCCAUCUGGUGAGUGCCCGCCCAGGGGCAGGGGCAGCUCUCUGGGCGCGUGCUGGGAGGGGAGGGGGCUGCCCUGGAGGAUGCCC